rnacentral:rRNA from 1 species
CCUACGGGUGGCAGCAGUGAGGAAUAUUGGUCAAUGGCCGGAAGCCUGAACCAGCCAUGUCGCGUGAGGGAAGACGGCCCUACGGGUUGUAAACCUCUUUUGUCAGGGAGCAAAGUUCAGGUCGGGACCUGCUUUGAGAGUACCUUAAGAAAAAGCAUCGGCUAACUCCGUGCCAGCAGCCGCGGUAAUCCGGAGGAUGCGAGCGUUAUCCGGAUUUUUUGGGUUUAAAGGGUGCGGAGGCGGGAGGACAAUUCCAGGGUGAAAUCCCCGGGCUUAACCCCCGCCCUGCCUUUGAAACUGGGUGCCUUGAGGGCAGGAAGGGUAGGCGGAAUGUAUGGUGUAGCGGUGAAAUGCAUAGAUAUCACGCAGAACACCGAUGGCGAAGGCAGCCUACCGGCGUGUAACUGACGCUGAGGCACGAAAGCGUGGGGAUCGAACAGGAUUAGAUACCCCUGUAGUC